rnacentral:rRNA from 1 species
UACGUAGGGGGCUAGCGUUGUCCGGAAUCAUUGGGCGUAAAGAGCGUGUAGGCGGCCCGGUAAGUCCGCUGUAAAAGUCAAAGGCUCAACCUUUGAAUGUCAGUGGAUACUGUCGGGCUAGAGUCCGGAAGAGGCGAGUGGAACUCCUAGUGUAGCGGUGGAAUGCGCAGAUAUCAGGAAGAACACCAACGGCGAAGGCAGCUCGCUAGGACGGUACUGACGCUGAGACGCGAAAGCGUGGGGAGCGAACAGG